GAUGAACGCUAGCUACAGGCUUAACACAUGCAAGUCGAGGGGAAACGAUAGAGAAAGCUUGCUUUUUCUAGGCGUCGACCGGCGCACGGGUGAGUAACGCGUAUCCAACCUGCCCAUCACUUGGGGAUAACCUUGCGAAAGUAAGACUAAUACCCAAUGACGUCUCUAGAAGACAUCUGAAGGAGAUUAAAGAUUUAUCGGUGAUGGAUGGGGAUGCGUCUGAUUAGCUUGUUGGCGGGGUAACGGCCCACCAAGGCGACGAUCAGUAGGGGUUCUGAGAGGAAGGCCCCCCCANAUUGGAACUGAGACACGGUCCAAACUCCUACGGGAGGCAGCAGUGAGGAAUAUUGGUCAAUGGACGAGAGUCUGAACCAGCCAAGUAGCGUGCAGGAUGACGGCCCUAUGGGUUGUAAACUGCUUUUAUAAGGGAAUAAAGUGAGUCUCGUGAGACUUUUUGCAUGUACCUUAUGAAUAAGGACCGGCUAAUUCCGUGCCAGCAGCCG
rnacentral:rRNA from 1 species